UCUCUCUCCAUCAUUUUUUCUUUGUUUCUUCUCCAGAACGACCAUCACUACAACCACAAACCCUAGAUUCUCCACCGCCCGCUUCUCUAACCCCAACCCUCUUUCUAGCCAAACCGUUACCUCCGACAUCUGGCAAAGAUCAGUCCCAGUUGGAGUGCUCCAUCUCUAUCUCACCAUCUCUCUAUCUCUAUCUCUAUCUCUAUCUCUGCCUCACCUUCGCUCUCAAUCUCUGCCUCACUAUCUCUCUCCAUCUCGAUCUACCCUUUGAAACCCUCCCAAACCGAAACCCCAAUUCAAACCCUCGAUGAGUUCUACAUAAGGUGAUCAGAUGAUGAGUUAUAUAUAUGACAAUCCACUCUCACAACCGAUGAUGAGUUCUCUGCUUUAUCAGCUAAAAUUUUAAAACCAAAAAAUGAUUGAUGAAGGGUUUAAAUAGUCAUCUAGAAGGCCCUAAUUUGUUGGGGUUCAAGAUCAAUUCCUAGGGCUGGUUGAUUUUUGAUGGUCACGAAAGUAAUAUGGCAUCAUUUGUUUCUUGAUCAGCUGAGGUUAGUUUAGUUGGUCUACAUUUUUUGCAUCUCAUUGGAAUUAGAUUUCAGAUUAUAUCAAAAAUAAAGCUUUUAUUGCUUCCUCUAGAUAUCUAUCUUCCUUUUAGUCAUGCGCAUACAUAAUUAUGAAUAAAUCUGCAACACAGAUAUCAAUUUUGUACAAUUUGACACAAAAUGUAUAUGAAUGAAUAAGAUUUUUCAUAAAUAGAGUCCCAUAAGAUCUUUCAUGCUAAGAGUCGUUUGUUCUUUGCUGGAAUAUGGACUGUCACUUGAGAGGUGAGUUGCUUUCUAUGAUGGAUUUUAAAGAUGGGAAGCUUCCUAUGAGGUAUUUGGGGGUUCCUCUUGUCUCUACUAAGUUGUGUAAAAUAGAUUCUGAUCAAUUGGUUGCUAGGAUUACUAAGAGGAUUCAAUCGUGAGCUAAUAAAGUGUUGUCGUAUGCUGGUAGAGCCCAAUUGAUUAAAAGAAUUUGUAUUAAUAGAAUUCUUAAUUUUAAUAUAUAAUAGAAUUUGUAUUUGUUCAAUUCCACUCUCUUAAUAGAAUUUGUAUUUGUUCAAUUCAUUUCUUAAUGGGUUUGAAUUUUUUUUUUUUAAUUAUAAAUAAAUCUUUGGGUUUAGUGUUAUUAUUGGAUUAAAAAAAAGGUCAAAUGAUGGUGUUUGACUACAAUUCUAGAUUCUAGAUUAUUUGAUUUUUUUUAGCUUAUUUAACUCAGAAAAAGUGAGAUUACUUGUAAUUUUUUUCAACUUAAGAAUGUGCCGGAAUUCAUUAGAAGCUAAAAUAGUAUAAUGAUAGUAGAAAGAAAUGAGAUAAAGAGAGAUUAUUUUUAAUUAAAUUCCAUGUAUAUAUAAUAAUUUAGUUGCCAUUUUUUUUUUAAAUAUUAGCAAAGAUAUGUAUCAAUACUAACAUUGAGAACACCAAGAAAAUGAAAUCUUAGAAUACCACCAUAGUGUAUUUGCUAAUCAUUUUUCACAUUGGUGGAGGUUGUGCCUCUUUGGGUUGGUUCAAACCAUGGUUGUUUUGUUGUGGUUAUGCCUCUAAUUUGGUUGCUUCAAGCCAUUAUUGUUUAGUUUGGUUGUCAGGUGGCAUGAGAGGUGUCACACUCUUCAUGGUUUUCAUGAAAAUGUUGUUGGCUUUAGAAUUUCAUUCUUAAUUUUUUUUUUUAAUACAAUUCCAAAAGGAUGUAGCCAUGGCUAGAACUCUGUUUUUGUGUAUAUAACCAACUCUACUAUACAGCUAUAUCAAUAUGAUAUUGAAUAAAUGAUGGGCAUGCCAACCCAAUACUACACACACAUGAGGCAAAGAAGAUUUCAUUCCUAUGAGGUAUUAGUAAGUUUGUUGUCCCCUAGUACAUGGGACUAACUAAGGAUGUCAUUUACAUACUUUUCUAAACACAGACAGCAUAGGAUAUCCAUAUGUAUAAAACAUUUCAAUAGAGUCACUACUACAAUAAUGGUUAAAAGUCAUAUUUUUCAGAUUGAAUUUACAUAAGAAUCAUGCUUAAAAGUAGCAAAUUAUGAGUACAAAACUCUAAAAUUUUGCUCAAAGCAUGCUUUAGUCUGAAUUUGUGUUCAAUGUUAAAGAAGUAUAGAUGAGGAACAUGAGGUUGCUCCUUCCAUGCUCCAUUCUACAGACUUGAUGUAUAGAUUUUAUAGCUUUCUUUUGUUUUAUUUUAAAGCUAUUAAAUAUAUUUUAUAGUUUUUUUUUUAAAUUUUAAUUUUUUUUUUUAAAUUUGACAAUUCUAGUGUCUUCUCUGAGCUGUGUUUGCAUUGCUGAAUAUAUCUAUUGAAUUGUGGUUUUAACUUUGCAUAUCUAAACAUCAUUUAUAAUUUUUAGAUUAGAUAUCACUCUCUUGAAGAAGAAAUAGCCUUUGGACCUGGUUGUUGGUUGUGGGAUUAUUUAAGAAGUGGGGCUUCUAGUUUUCUGCAUCCACUUUCUAGUGGUGCUGGGUUCUAAGGCACCUAAGGGUUAUGUUUACAAAAUUGGAAUUGUACGUGGUGUUUUUAUAUUAUUUUUGUUACUCUAUCAAUGACAUUUUAUUUUGCAUGUUGGCUAGCUCUUUGGUUUGGAACACACUUUUGGAAAAUUCCAGAAACACUGCAGAGAAGGACCUUUCUAUUCAAAGAUAUGCUGUCAUUCCAUUGUCUCCAAACAGCGGAUUAAUAGGAUGGGUACCAAAGUGUGACACCCUGCACCAUCUUAUUCGGAAUAAAGAGAUGCUAGAAAGGUCCGCUAAGGUUCAUUUGAUGCUCUAUGUGUGUGUGUGUGUGCGCGCGCGCACGCGCAUUUCGUCUAAUUUUUUGUGCAUGUUUCUGGUAUAUAGAUCACCUUAAAUCUAGAGCACAAACAUAUGCUUAAUUUUGCUAAAGAUUAUGACCAUUUGCCACUUAUAGCUAAAGUGGAGGUGUUUGAGUAUGCUCUGCAAAAUAGUGAAGGAAAUGACCUGGCAAGGGUAUGUUUUCUUCAAGAAAUAUGCUGCAUCUUUGGCUCUCUCCUGGGAAUUCUUUUGUCAAGUUAGUUACAUUGCCUCUUGAUAGGUGUUUUAGUUAAAAAGUUGCACUUUUGAGAAUUGGCUGGACAGGAGGACAAAUUAUACUAGAAGCUUGGCUGUCAUGAGCAUGGUAUCAUUUUUCUUCUCGUAUUAUUUAGAUCUUUUUCUUAAGACCAGCAAGAUCCGGCUAUAUAUGUUUCCACAAAAUCAACACAAUAUGGCUCCCGUGUAUGAUCUUAUUUGUCAACCUUUUAUGCUUUAGAAAUGUUUAGAUAAGAGAAUGUUUCGAAGUAAAUGUAUGUUAUUUGAUUAUACUUUUCUUUCUUUGGUUAGAAUGAUAUACUGAGAAGGAACCCUGCAAAUCACUAACUUAAUUUGUGAAUAUAUACCCAAUACAAUUGUGUGAUUAGGUGUCUAAAGUAUUUGAAUGCUUGUGUACAUAUCUUUCAUUGUGUAGAUAUAUGAUUUUUUGGGUACUGAUAUUCUUUCCGUUGUAUACAGGGAUUCUUUGUUAUUCUUUCAUGGAUGCCUAUAUAUUUUAAAACAGUAAGGCCAUAGCUAGCCUAAAAGUUGUAGUUUAUCAGGAAUUUAUCACAUACUCAACAAGUGUACUGAUUUUAUGAGAAAGAUGAAAUACAUGUCUCUUUGUUAUAGAUAUAUCAUGUCCACCUCAGACAAGCAGCUUGAUCUUUCAAAAAAGUAAAAACAUAACCAAAGACAACUUCUAUUAAUUUUGUUUCCAAAAUGUAUUUACUAGUAGUCAUGGUCCACGCAAUGGACUCAUGAACAUCAUGUAUGGUUGUCCAAUUUUUUAUUUUUUAAAAUUUCAUUCUAAUUUUGAUUCAAACAGGCAAUAAACAAUCAUUGAUGCUGGUUUCACAAAAUUGCAUGUGACCUGGAAAACUAGAAGUUUGAAUUGAAAUAUUUCUGUCUACAUUUGUUUCUCUUGUUUUACUUUUGAAUUUUCCUACUAAUCAUGUGAUACAGUAAGCAUCAGGUAUAUCCUUACUUGCAGUCAAUUGGUUUUGUUGGUCCUGGGAUUGCGCUCAAUGGUCUAACCAUGGCAAAGCACACAUCAAUAGCAUCUGCUUGGCUUACUUUAGCUGUUGGGCUAAAAUCAUUUAGUCAUUGUGGAUUCCUUGUGAAUCUUCAGGUUUCUUAAGAAGCAAGGUUUCAAAGGACAAUUUAAAGGAGGAGGUAUCCCAUGAACUCGUAGAUCGCCGUUUUGAUUGGUUUUUGAUGAUGUUUGGAAGCAUACUUGCAAAUCAAGAUCGAGUGUUAAAUUUUUUUUUCCUGAGCUGAUACUUGGUUCUAGUUGCAAAUCAAGAUUGAAUGCUGAUUUUUUUUGUGAAUUCCAUGUUAGUUCAUUUUUGGAUUUGCUUUGAUGGUUUUUUUGUUAUACUUAAUGGAUUAUUAUUAAAUUUGUUUGAUGGAUAUAUUUUGAUUUAUAAUAUAAAUUUUUUGGUGAAUUUUUUUAUGGAGU